rnacentral:tRNA from 2 species
GAAAUAUUAAGAAAGAAGAGAAAGCUUCUAACUUUUUCUUAAGCGGUUAAAUUCCGUUUAUAUUUCU